rnacentral:misc_RNA from 1 species
GAAAUGCGAUAAGUAGUGUGAAUUGCAGAAUUCAGUGAAUCAUCGAAUCUUUGAACGCACAUUGCGCUCUCUGGUAUUCCGGAGAGCAUGCCCGUUUCAGUAUCAUUAAAAACUCACUGGUCUUCUGGCUUACGUCUGAGGAUUGGUGGACGUUGGAUGGUUUGAGCUUCUGCCCAAACAUCUUAAAAGGAUGGUGCGUGCCCCAGCUCUAUUUGGUUGGGUGUCAAGGUGCAACAGAAAUUUUCUAUUCUCUUUGAACUUCGAACUGAUGAGGUUGGUGGUGUGUACUCCUGGCCUACGGUUGGACUGCUUCUGCUAUCUAACUGGUAACUUGGUCUGAAAUCGGGCAAGAAAACCCGCUGAACUUAA